rnacentral:rRNA from 1 species
AAUCAACGCUGGCGGCGUGCCUCAGACAUGCAAGUCGAACGAAUUAAAGCUCGUCUUCGGAGAGUGCAUAAAGUGGCGCACGGGUGAGUAACACGUAAGUAAUCUACCUUCGAGUGGGGAAUAACGUCCGGAAACGGACGCUAAUACCGCAUAACGCAGCGGCAUCGCAAGAUGACAGUUGUUAAAGAUUUAUCGCUUGAAGAGGAGCUUGCGGCAGAUAGCUUGUUGGUAAGGUAACGGCUUACCAAGGCUACGAUCUGUAUCCGGUCUAAGAGGACGGUCGGACACACUGACACUGAAUAACGGGUCAGACUCCGUAC